rnacentral:rRNA from 1 species
ACGCACGCUUGCGGCCUGCCUAACCCCUGCAAGUCGCACGCGACCUUCGGGUCUAGUGGCGCCCGGGUGCGUAACGCGUGGGAACCUGCCCUUAGGUUCGGAAUAACUCCCCGAAAGGGGUGCUAAUACCGGAUAAUGUCUUCGGACCAAAGAUUUAUCGCCUUUGGAUGGGCCCGCGUUGGAUUAGCUAGUUGGUAGGGUAAAAGCCUACCAAGGCGACGAUCCAUAGCUGGGCUGAGAGGAUGAUCAGCCACACUGGGACUGAGACACGGCCCAGACUCCUGCGGGAGGCAGCCGUGGGGAAUAUUGGACAAUGGGGGGAAGCCUGAUCCAGCAAUGGCGCGUGAGUGAUGAAGGCCUUAGGGUUGUAAAGCUCUUUUACCCGGGAUGAUAAUGACAGUACCGGGAGAAUAAGCUCCGGCUAACUCCGUG